rnacentral:piRNA from 1 species
UUCUCCACAAAAUGCCACCGAC